GGCGCUAUAGUGUAGUGGCUAUCACAGCGGAUUCUGACUUGCUCUGCUUUCCGCUAACCCAGGUUCGAACCCUGGUAGCGCCU